GCAAGGGAAUGUUAUAGAAUGUUAUCGGCAAACAGAGACCCCCUAUACUUCACCCUUUGUCUAAGCAAACCACCACUCUCUCUCUCUCUCUCUCUCUCUCUCUCUCUCUCUUAUUUCUUCUCACUCUUCGACCUACAAUGAGCCACACCCACUUCUUCUCCAAAUGGGUUGGCUCCAAUCCCUCUUCACUCCAUUCAAGAAACUACUGGUUCACCUGCACUUGGCUCACAAGAAGAGAAGAGGGAUGUACAUUCUAUACGAGGAUGUCAAGUCCUGCCCUAGUGAAGAUGUGCACGUGAUGUGGUCAAUACUGGUGGAGUUGCAUUCACCUCCUUUGCCAUCAACAAUGUGAAGCAAUUUUUAGUAAUGCAUACAAGUUAUUUUUCCUUUUUGUUUCUAUUUAUCUUAUCGGUUCAUGACAUUACGUGUUUGAUGUGUUUUAUCAGUUCCAGUAACAUGGCGCACGGUCCAAAAUUCUUUACAAUGGAGUGAAGUUUACAUGCUAUCUCUCCAAUGCCUCCCGGUCUGUUAGCUGGAGCCUCGUGCACUAAAAACGAUUUAUAAUUGGAGUAUUUCUUAAAUUUUCCUUUGUGAAUGCAAUCUGCUUUGAAGUUUGUGUUUCUAAAAUACUGAAAAAUUGCUUUCUAAUUC